GAGAAGAACGUAGCGAAAUGCGAUAAGUAAUGUGAAUUGCAGAAUUCAGUGAAUCAUCGAAUCUUUGAACGCACAUUGCGCCCGCCAGUAUUCUGGCGGGCAUGCCUGUUCGAGCGUCAUUACAACCCUCAGGCCCCCGGGCCUGGCGUUGGGGAUCGGCGGAAGCCCCCUGUGGGCACACGCCGUCCCUCAAAUACAGUGGCGGUCCCGCCGCAGCUUCCAUUGCGUAGUAGCUAACACCUCGCAACUGGAGAGCGGCGCGGCCAUGCCGUAAAACACCCAACUUCUGAAUGUUGACCUCGAAUCAGGUAGGAAUACCCGCUGAACUUAAGCAUAUCAAUAAGCGGAGGA
rnacentral:misc_RNA from 1 species